GAUUGGAAUUUUGAUUCAAUUGCAGACUGGGAAUUUGAGUGCCCUCCUCCCGCUAUGUACUUUGUUCAAGCUAGGCCAAAAAUAUAAAAUGAUCCUUUAAAACAGCACUGCCAUGUGGGUUGACAACAGAUGGUCUACUUUACAUCAACAAGACCAGCUAAGAUGUUAAAGCAAACAAGCUAAAAGAUAAAAUGAUAUGUGGCUUGUAUCAUGAGACAAUCAUUGACCUUGAAAAAAUUAAACAUCAGUCUUAUCCAGUCCAGCUGUUAAUUAAAGAUCAAGCAAUUGACUAUUUCAGAAUAUUUAAAAGAAAGAAAGAAAGAAAAAUCUUCUAUAGAUUUCAUGGGGUGUUCUGUAUAUGAGCACAAACAACUAGCUCAAUAAUUUCUUGAUAAAAACUGGUACAGUACCAAGUACAACUCAAGAUAAUUUCACAACUCAAUGAAUACAACCAUCUAGUAUAUUUUUUCCCCUCUACCUCUUCUCAUCCUCAGCUCAUCAAAACAGUGAUUUUGCCACUUCUUUUCGCAUAUUCAGCCUGCCCUGUGAGCAGUGGGAGCGAAGAAAACGGCAUUGACACCCUCCAAAUUGAUUGCCAAGCUUUUGCUUUCCAAUCCAACAUGAUUAGGUAUCCCAAUUCUUUCAUGAUGAUUUGCUUUCUGAAUUGCUAGACCAUAUUAAAUGCCAAGUGGAGGACUUUUCUGCAGACAUAGCAGACUGCAAAAAUGGGCAAGUAGGAACAGGCUUCUACAAGUUGCAGUUACGCCAUCAAAAUUCAAAAACACUGACCAGACCAUAUCAUGAAUUCAUGAUUGUGUUGCCUCAUCUUCGGCACCAAAAUCUAUCUGUGAUCUUAGGACCAGAUUUGCUUGGAGAGCAACAGUAAAGUAAUUAGCAAUCACCAGUAGUCCCCACAAG
rnacentral:misc_RNA from 1 species